AUUAUGUCUUUCUGCAUCUUACUCCUCUCCUCAUUCAAGUCACUGGCACAAGAUUGCUUAGCCCUCUAAGCAUCUGAUGGUGCAAAGCAGAAGCGUUUCCCCGCCCCUCAAAGAACCAGGAAGAGCAACCACAGGCACCACUACAAAAAGCGCAGUACCUUCCCAUAGUCUCAGGUGGAGGAGAAUUUUAGCAGGGGAAGUCCUGAUAGAAGCCCACCCUUGCUUGCUUUGGGGCUGUAGAGCUUGAGACAUGACUGGACGGAGAAGAGAAGUCUGUCUCCUCAAUACUCGAGCUCGCUUGCUGCUGGCAAUGUACCUGUGGCACUGGGCACAACAGACUCUGGCAAUAUCGUGCCCUGAUGGUGAGCUGAGAGCCAUUGCUAAGGAUGUAAAGAAAUGCUGCCCCAAAUGCCUCUCCAGCACAGGGGACAACAGCCCAUGUGAAGAAGCAAAGGAUGCAGACUGCAAGUGUCCUCAGGGAUUCAGUUGUACUGAUAGGUCCUGUUCCUCCUGCACGAAAACUGAAUGUCCAGAGGGCAAGGAGCUGAUUAGGCUGGGUAUCAUUCACUAUACGUAUUCAUGUAAACCAUGUGAGACAGGAACCUAUUCUAAUGGUAAGAACAGCUGGUGCCAAAGCUGGACUGAUUGUGAAAGUUCUGGCCUCCUAACAAUCAAGCAAGGCAACAGCACACACAAUUCAUUAUGUGGCUACCUGGUUAAAUAUUUGGACCGAGACAAUGUUACAAAUGAUUCUCGGUACACCACUAUGCUGGCCAUCCUGACAGCAGUGGGUCUAUUUGUUCUCAUCUUGCUGACCUUCUUCUUGCAUCUCUGCAUCUGGUCGCUGAAGAAAGAAAAACACCCCACAGCUGACAAUGUGGAACGUAACAUCUCUAGGCUGCCGUUGGCUUCACAACCAUCCCACCACAGAGAAGAGACUUACAGCUGCCAGUUUCCAGAAGAAGAACAUGGAGACAAAAUACUGGAAGAGAAACCUUACUACUUCCAACCUCCAAGUCUCCACUGAGAACAGACAAACUGCAACGUGCUGUGAGAAUGAGGAGCUGAGCUCAGCUAUAAACCAAACAGGAGGGAGGGACUGGGUCCCUCUGGAUGGCAUUCUUUCCUUCUGCCGUAUCAACUGCACCACUCAGCUUGGUGUUGUCUUCAAACUUGAUGAGAGUGAGCUCGAUCCCGCUGAUGAAGAUGCUGAAGAUCACUGGUCCCAGGAUAGACCCCUGGGGGACACCACUCAUUGCCAGCCUUCACUUGGACAUGAAGCCACUGACCACAACCUUCUGGCUGUGACCAUCCAACCAAUUCCUUAUCCAGUGUAUAGUCUACCCUUCACAUCUGUCUCUCUCCAAUUUAGAGAUAAGGAUGUGGUGUGGGACCAUGUUUUGCUUUGAUUCUCCUUAACAAACCUAGCAUUUAGAAGCAAAGAACCUGCUAAGUCAGGCUGACAUUCUGUUCAGCUGCAUUGCUUUGCAAAGUUUAUCUGAGCUGUGGGUUUUGUUGUUUGUUUGUUUUUAAUUU